GAUGCUGUGCCAUUAAUGUAACCGUCGACAAGAUCUAUUCUCCUACGUAAAAAGUUUGGCUUCCCUGAACUACGACGUUCAGGGAUGUAACAAGAAAGAGGUUGGCAAUAUCGCGGGUCGUUCUCCGUGGAGACGGAUUCGGGUAUCGGGACGACCAAGAAUAGCAAAGAGCAGCACGCGAAUCUAUCCGUCCCGUGGCCGAGCGCUGUCUUACCACCGACCGUUCCCUCCGCUUGCAGCCACUUACGUUAUUUCAUGAGUGAUCUUUCGCACGGUGACGCGCACGGAUUGCGAUUAGCUCGUAUAUGGGGGCAAGGGACGGUGGACGCUUCUUUCGGCGUCUUGAGUCGCGCCUAGUGAAUCGAAGUGAAGUGAUAUCGCCAAGUAGAAAAUCCGGAACAUUGUUGAAGAGAGAGUGAAAAGGAAAAGAGAGGAAAAGAAAAGAAAAGAGAUAGAUAUAUAUAUAUAUAUAUAUAUAUAUAUAGAGAGAGAGAGAGAGAGACAGAUAGAGGAAAAAAGCAAAAGAGAAAAGAUAGGGAGAAAGAGAUAGAGCGAACGAAGAGAAUUGAGAGUAACAGAGACAGAGAGACGAGAACGUGAAAAAGACAGAGAUAGAGAUAGAGAUAGAGAUAGAGAUAGAGAUAGAAGUGGAAGGAGACGUAUAGACCAAGCGCGCAGUGGUUAUAAGGUUGUCGAGCUCGAUUGUGCGUGCUUCGAGGCAAUGUCUCUCGAGACUCGUUCGAGCUCGGCUCUAUUUAAAAGAGCCGAACAGCUGAAACGUUGGGAACAAUCUGAAACAAAUCGAGAACCGGCCCAACCGCGUCAAGUAACAAGGAAAAUCAAAUUUUCCGAUGAUUGUGUCUUCUUGGCGGCAUGUGCGGCAGGCGACAAGGAGGAGGUUGUGCGUUUACUCCAAAAAGGGGCGGACAUCAACACCGGAAACGUCGAUGGUCUCACGGCGUUGCACCAGGCAUGCAUCGACGAUGAUCUGGAUAUGGUAGAAUUUUUGGUAGAACAAGGAGCAGAUAUAAAUCGUGGGGACAAUGAAGGAUGGACGCCCCUACAUGCUACAGCAUCUUGUGGCUUCAUAUCAAUAGCUAAAUAUUUGAUAGAGCAAGGGUGCAAUUUGGCAGCAGUUAACAAUGACGGCGAAUUGGCCCUUGAUAUCGCAGAAAAGGUUGAAAUGGAGGAUAUGCUACAGCAACAUAUAAAUAAAGCAGGCAUAGAUUGUGAUCAAGCCAGAAGCGAAGAGGAAAGGUCAAUGUUAAAUGAUGCAAGAGCUUGGAGAUCAGGAGCAGCAGGCAAAGAUUCAAUGCAUCCUAGAACAGGAGCUACGGCACUUCAUGUUGCUGCUGCUAAAGGCUACAUCAAAGUCAUGAAUAUUCUCCUUCAGGCUCGAUGCGAUGUUAAUGCACAAGAUUUCGAUGGAUGGACACCUUUACAUGGUGCAGCACAUUGGGGUCAAUUAGAAACUUGUAAACUACUUGUGGAUAAUUUUUGUGAUAUGGACAUAAAAAAUUAUGCAGGACAAACUGCUUUUGAUGUUGCUGAUGCAGAUAUUUUAAAAGAUUUAGAAGAAUUGAAACAAAAACAAUUAACUAUGAUGAAAGAUCAUCCACAAAUAAUUAAUAAAAAACAACCUUCUGUACCAAAGAAACGUAUUUCAACUAGUACUGAUAAUACUGUAACGACACAAGAGAGUCCUGAAAUUCUAGAAGAGGAAACGCCAAAUAAAGUUAAAAAAGUAGAAGUGGAAAUUCAAUCUGAUAAAGACGAUUCUAGUACUGGAACGAAUAGCGACGUCGAAGCAACACGAGAAACAGAUAUGGAAGAGAGUGAUGGCGAAGUUGUUUCUGAAACUAGCUCAGAAUCACGCUCUUCCACCUGCUCCAAUCAGUCUGAUAAGUCUAACCAAUCAAACCAUUCCACAUGUCUUACAGAUGAUGAAAAGAAAAACAGAGUGAACAAAGAGGAAACUGCAAGUCAUUCUCCGCUAUCUCCUAUUGAAAUCAAUAAAGUUCCUAAUCAAGCUCCAGUAUUGCCUCCUAAGCAGCAAACUGAUAAUAAUGAAGAGGGAGUUGUUCCAUCCUGGAGGCGUUCAGGUUCUUUCAGAAGUAGAAUACAAAAUGUAGAAGAACUUGAAGAUAAGGACAAAAGUACUAAGUUGCUGAAUACACCAAACAAAAUUACUACUGAACCGGAGGUAGUAUUAAGAAGAACACACAGUUUUGAGACAGACGAGAAGUUCUAUGAGCAGUACUUGGCAUUACACGCUCGUAUCAAGGCAUCUUCCUGCCCUACUCUCCAUCGUUGUAACGCAGUUUCUCCUACUCAUACCAAUGCUACAACACGUUCUGCAUCUCUGCGCGAAACACACAGAAGGAAAGAAAUCAAAUUAAAUUUGGAAUUAUCAAGAACGCCACAGGGAAGCAAUACACUUUCACCAACAUCUCCAUCUAAAACAUCACCACUAAGUGCACUGCCAACUACAACCAUUACAACUGCCAAUACAAUGACAACGACAAUUGCUACUAGUCCUGUUCCUGUGAAUCAGAUACGCAGUGUUCAACCAACGGAAGCUACAUCUACACUUCUAUCGAGUGCAAACAAUACUGUACCAGUAUCUGGAACUCCCACUACACCUGGAGGGAGCAAGCUAAGUCCAGGAAAUAUCUUCAAGAAUUUCUUCAAAUCCUUUGUCCCACCUGUUCGUGAUGAAGAAAGUGAAACACAAAGAAAAGCACACGCGAAGAGAGUACGAGAAACUCGGCGUUCGACUCAGGGAGUAACAUUAGAUGAAAUCAAAAGUGCAGAACAACUUGUAAAGAAAAAACAACAAAACAACGAAGUGCCCAGUUUGACAGCACCUUCUCCGCAGCAGCCUGCAGCUUCUGUCAGCAAUACAGCCUCAAUCACAGCUACAAUAACAACAGCAACUCCUACCACAGUGACUGCAAAUAAACCUUCUGAAGAAUCUAAUUUGCCUGAAAGGCGACCUUCUUGGAGACUCAGGGUAGAUAAUGGAAGCAAGUUUCAGUUAGAGGAUGCAAAUAACAGGUCACCUGACAUUACAUCUACUUAUAUGAGAAGGCCAUCCGGUGGAACUGGUAUACCCAGACCAUCAUCUGCACCUGUGGAAACGAUCACGCCAAGUCCUGCAGAAACUACUGUAACAUUACCACUUCGACGAUCAUUAAAACCAUCUGAAGACAAAGAACAAGAUAAAGAAAAUGAUAGCAGAAAUGCACAAGCUACUCAAGCAGUUAUACAAAGGAGAAGGAGGCCUAAAAGACGUUCUACGGGUGUUGUUCAUGUUGAUAUGGAUGAAAUAGAUCCUGAGAAACAAGACGUAUCUGCUGGUGGUGAUUUUGAGGAUACUAAAGUGAAUCACAGUGAGAGUGGAAAUGAUAGACCUGGGAGGUCGAAUAGACUAGGUUCUGUAUCAUCAAUAUCAUCUGAAAUAUCUUCAGCUUCAACAAGAAUCAAAUCUACGACUUCAGAAAAUGGUGAAAUUGACUAUAAAAAAUUAUAUGAAGAAUCUCAAGCAGAAAAUGAAAGACUUAGAGAAAAACUUAAGCGAUCAGAUGAACAAUUGAAAGAAGUUAGAAGUUUAUUAGAUAAAGCACAGAAUUCCCAGAACAAGUCUGUUUUAUCUGAGGCAGAAAAAAGGGAAAGGAGGGCCAUGGAGAGAAAGUUAUCAGAAAUGGAAGAAGAAUUAAAGGUUAUGGAUCAGUUAAAAUGUGAAAACCAGAGGCUAAAGGAUGAAAAUGGUGCCUUGAUCAGAGUGAUCAGUAAAUUAUCCAAAUAACUUCAGUGCUCCCAUGUUAAAAGCAACAUGAAUCCUUUUUAGUUGUGCUGCUCCUGCAUUGAUCGAAUUCUUUUAAAUGUAUUAUCGAGGCAUAUUCGUAGAGGAAGAAGAUCUGUCUCAGGCAUGAACCGAUAAUCCUAGAAAUAAUAAAAUAAAGAUUCUUGAACUAUCUUUUUAAAAUAUUUAACAUCAGAAGUUAAUUGACUUUAAGAAUAAAAUUUAAUGUAUCGACAUAUAUUAUUAUACCUGUUUUUCCUCUUUCUCUCGUAAUGGAAUUGUUUUCUUGUUUACACUAUCCCAUGCCCUGGUUUCAUUAAAAACUAACUGUCCACUUUCUAGAAUUGAAAUCUGCCGAUUUAUCUCAUAUUUUAUGGCCGAGGCAACAGCACGUACGUGUGCAAUAUUUUUUAAUUCCGUACGAACACCUAAAUUAUCAUCAUUACUUACGGAAACAUUUGCAUCAAUUCUGAAUGCUCCUUCUAUAAUGUUAUGUUAAAAUUAUAAAUCUAUAUACAACAUUAUAUUUAUAUACAAAAAAAAAAAAAAAAAAAUUAUAUAUAUUUGUAGACGGACCUUCCAUUUUACAUGAGCAAGUGCCCAAUAUUUUAAAAAUGUUCACAAGUUCUUUUACAGCAGCUGCUGCUUCCUCUCCGUUGCUUAAAUCUGGUUCAAAAACCAAUUCCAUUAAUGGUACACCUGCACGAUUUAGAUCUAUGAGAUUCCUAUCAUAACAGACAUAUAUGAACUCUGCAAUAUAUUAAUAUUAUAAUUGGAAAGUUAAUAAAACAAAAAAAAACAAAAAAAAAAAAAAAAAAAAAAAAAAAAAAAAAAAAAAAAAAAAAAAAAAAAACAAUAAUGAGACACUACAAUAGAUUACAUAAAUAAUAAUUAAUAACUCUUAAAAUGACUUAUGCGAUUAAAGUAAUUUUUUUACCUUCCAAUGGAUUCAUCAUGAAAACUUCGCCCACUAUCUUGUUCCAAUUGUAUUUGUUUUAUUUUCGACGUUUUUACGUACAGUUCUCCAUGUGCAUCUGGAUCCUCCACUAAGAAACAUAAUUUGCCAUUAAUAGCCAAUGGUUGUUUGGAUUGCGUAAUUUGAUAUCCAGCCUAUAUUUGUAAAAUAUUACAUACAAUGCAUUCAUAUACAUAUAUAUUUAUUAUUAAAGAAAUAGUUAACAUACCGGUAAAUCUGCAUAAAAGUAAUGUUUUCUUUCAAAUACUGAAAUCUCAUUUAAUGUACAAGAUAACGCUAAGGCAGUGCUAAUACCUGCUUCAACACAUUUUCGAUUAAGCACCUAUAAUAAUUUAUUUCGUAAAUUUAUUUUUAUAAAUAAAAAUGAUUCUAAAUUUACCGGCAUUGUCCCUGGAGUUGCGCAAUCGAAAUAAGAUACAGCAGAAUUAAUAGGCUUUUGAAACAUCGUAGAAGCAGAAGAAAACAAUUUCGAAUUUGUUGUUAUUUGUGCAUGAAUUUCUAAGCCAAUAGUAGGUUUCCAUUUCUUCCUAAAAUAUGAUAAUAAUAAUAAUAAUAAUAGUAAUAAUAAUAAUAAUAAUAAUUAAUAAAAAUACCGUAAAUAAAGGAAAUUAAUAUAUUAUGAUAUUGUUAUUUUAAGAAUAACAUUUGAAGCAGGAGAAGAGUAAUUGUUUAUACUCAGUUUUGUGUUCUUGCGUUGAUAAAUAUAUUCGUGGAAAUCGAAUGAUUGUAUUUUGAUGACAUUUCGUUGAUAUUUGACAAGAUUUAAAAGUUAUAAUCAUUUUUAAUUUUUUUCAAAAAGGACAACGAUGCGAAGACCGAUCACGUCUUAUAACUGAAGUUGGCCGAAUUUGAGACAUCGAUUAGUUAAUGUCGAAACAUCGAUUAAUUAUUGAAAUUAUCGCCGAAACUUCAAGCGAGUUAAAAUGGAAGCAAUUCGAACGAGAUUACGAUAUAUCAAUAUGCAAUCAGCUUAUAAAAAGGUUCUUGCAUAAAAUAUGAAGACAUUUAUUUAAAAGCACAAAAUAUAGCUACUUUUAUAUAAAUGUCUUGCAAAAAUCAUUGAUCGUUGGUUAAAAAAAAACAAACUUCUUUCAGUCUCAUGGACAAACUUUAAAAACAUUUUGUAUAUUAUUAAUUUACAUAUAUAUUUCUUUAAGUUAAAAUUUGUUGUCUGUAAUAUUUAGAAAUUCUUAACUCCUUUAAAAUAUUCUCUGAUU